GCUGGGUGUGGUGGCGCGUGCCUGUAGUCCCAGCUACUCAGGAGGCUGAGGCAGGAGAAUCACUUGAACCUGGGAGGCAGAGGUUGCAGUGAGCUGAGAUCGUGCCACUGCACUCCAGCCUAGGCAACAGAGUGAGACUCUGUCUCAA
rnacentral:SRP_RNA from 1 species